UACAGAGGGGGCAAGCGUUGUUCGGAAUUACUGGGCGUAAAGGGCGCGUAGGCGGCCUUCUAAGUCGAACGUGAAAUCCCCGGGCUCAACCCGGGAACUGCGUCCGAGACUGGAAGGCUCGAAUCCGGGAGAGGGAUGUGGAAUUCCAGGUGUAGCGGUGAAAUGCGUAGAUAUCAGGAGGAACACCAGUGGCGAAGGCGGCUGACUGGUCCGGUUCUGACGCUGAGGCGCGAAAGCGUGGGGAGCAAACAGG
rnacentral:rRNA from 1 species